GCUGGCGGCGUGCCUAAUACAUGCAAGUCGAGCGGAUCUUGUCCUUCGGGACAAGAUUAGCGGCGGACGGGUGAGUAACACGUAGGCAACCUGCCCUCAAGACUGGGAUAACCUCCGGAAACGGAUGCUAAUACCGGAUAUGCGGUUUCUCCUCCUGGAGAGAUCGGGAAAGACGGAGCAAUCUGUCGCUUGGGGAUGGGCCUGCGGCGCAUUAGCUAGUUGGUGAGGUAACGGCUCACCAAGGCGACGAUGCGUAGCCGACCUGAGAGGGUGAUCGGCCACACUGGGACUGAGACACGGCCCAGACUCCUACGGGAGGCAGCAGUAGGGAAUCUUCCGCAAUGGACGCAAGUCUGACGGAGCAACGCCGCGUGAGUGAGGAAGGCCUUCGGGUCGUAAAGCUCUGUUGCC
rnacentral:rRNA from 1 species